rnacentral:rRNA from 1 species
UGGGGAAUCUUGCGCAAUGGCCGAAAGGCUGACGCAGCGACGCCGCGUGGGGGAUGAAGCAUUUCGGUGUGUAAACCCCUGUUGCCCGGGACGAACACGAGGUUUUGACCUCGCUGACGGUACCGGGUGAGGAAGCACCGGCUAACUCCGUGCCAGCAGCCGCGGUAAUACGGAGGGUGCGAGCGUUGUCCGGAAUCACUGGGCGUAAAGGGCGCGUAGGUGGCGCGGGCAGUCAACGGUGAAAGUUCGGGGCUCAACCCUGAAUCGGCCGUCGAUACUCCCGGGCUUGAGCACUGUAGAGGCUAAUGGAAUUCCGGGUGUAGCGGUGGAAUGCGUAGAGAUCCGGAAGAACACCGGUGGCGAAGGCGGUUAGCUGGGCAGUUGCUGACACUGAGGCGCGACAGCGUGGGGAGCAAACAG